rnacentral:rRNA from 1 species
UACGUAGGGUGCAAGCGUUAAUCGGAAUUACUGGGCGUAAAGCGUGCGCAGGCGGUUAUGCAAGACAGAUGUGAAAUCCCCGGGCUCAACCUGGGAACUGCAUUUGUGACUGCAUGGCUAGAGUGCGGCAGAGGGGGAUGGAAUUCCUGGUGUAGCAGUGAAAUGCGUAGAUAUCAGGAGGAAUACCGAUGGCGAAGGCAGGUCUCUGGGCUGACACUGACGCUCAUGCACGAAAGCGUGGGGAGCAAACAGG